rnacentral:lncRNA from 1 species
GAGCACUCGCCCACCUGUCCGCUUGCCGUCUCUAUGUCUGGAGCUCUUAGAGAUAAGACAUAGAGGUGUCUGGUUCUGAGAAAAGGAAGUUUUGCUAAGUGAGAGACACAACUGACUCAACUGACUCAGAGACUCUGUGGCGAUGGGUGCUGUCCCCAAAUGUAGCCAUUCCACAGGAAAACAAAGUCCCCUCCUGUAUUGACAGCUGGGAAUUGUGGUGUCCACCGUCCUCGACCUGCGACGGGGUCUCCAUGAGCACAGAGGCUGCUCUGGAGUCAACAGAUCAUCUUUUCCCCAAACCAAACUGCUUGGCUGGCGUUGUUCCUGAAGGGGCUUCACUGGCCAGAAGACAUCCAGUCCCUGACUCCACCUGCCUCCAGGUGCCCAGAACAGCCCAUCGUGGGGACUUCACCCUCAGCAAGUGGACGCCGUUUGUCCUGCCAGGGCAGGAUGGAGAUGGAUGAGGACCCGGAUAACCUGCCUGCCCAGGGGCAAGGCAAUAUCAUCAUUACUAAGUAUGAGCAGGGACACCGAGCUGGGGCAGCAGUGGACUUGGGGCAUGAGCAGGUUGAUGUCAGAAAAUACACCAAUAACCUCGGGAUUGUGCAUGAGAUGGAGCUGCCCCGCGUCAGUGCCCUGGAGGUGAA